CCCAGUUCAGUUAGAAAGUGCAUCACAGAGGGAGAGUUUUGAUGAACCCCGCUGCUGUGUAGGAGCACAGAUAAAGCACAUGAGCUGGGUAGAAUCAUGAUACUACAGGAGCAAAAUGAAGGUCUGCACCAAAGUUUGCUGAAGACAGCAGUGAGGAUGGAGUGUCUAGGAGAGGAAUUCAUGAGCAGCCAAAAGCUGUUGGAGGCAGAACUUCAGAGGACACGCUUGGAGCUCAGCAACCUCACAGAGAGGUUUAAAAGACUACAUGAUAACUACUCCUCCACACAACAGACCAAUAAUCUUCUAGAGCAAAAGCUUCACUCAGUGGCUCAGAAUAUGGAAGGAGAACGCGAGAGAUUGAACCAGCGUAUUUCAGAGCUGACUAAGCAGCUCUCUGCUACAAAAUUUGCCAACGACAUGGAUGCAUUCAAUGUAACAUCAGUGCCACCUGAAACCAACCUUCCUUUUCAACCAGAUGAUGCCAUUGAUCAGAUGGUUCUCCCCAUCGCUCCCCCUCCGGCUGAGUUCAUGGACAGCCAUAACUGUGGAAAGGCCAAAGCCACCGGACAGGAGCAACUUCUGGGUUCGGUUCCAGAGGAGGAGGAAUCUGACUGGUCAGAGAUGGGAGAGGAGACUCCACGGUUAAUACUAACCGGAUCAAGUAGAGGUCAAACAUGGAGACACCAGGAAGGAGACCUGGACAAAGACAGUGAGUCAGGAGGCGAGGAAAUCAUCAGACGACACUCUCCACGCCUAAUGCAGAUACCUCAUCUGCAGUUCACCAUCCACAAUGAGAUUUUAUCAGCAUCCCACACUAAUUCCUGCCCUUCUGGUUUCAAGAAUCUGUCUGAUAGCUUGAAGGGAGAGGGAAGUUACAGGAUCACAACAAGUCCAAGCCUUGGGUCUGCCAUCCUGAUCCGGUCAGCCAGCCUGGAGGAAAUCCCUCUGGCACGGAAUCACAUGCAGAAAGAGCUGAGAGGCACAGAGGCCAUGAUGAACCUGCACCACCCAGGAGACGACGCUAUCGAGGAUUUAGAUAAUGAGAUCAUUCAUCACUGGAGAACGAGCAACAACAGGGACAGCAGGGCUUCAGAGUCAGACAACAGCCUGGCCAGCCUGCAGUCAGCCGAGCAGAUGCUCAACCACUUCAUGUGUGAUCCUCAGUCCAGUGAAGGAAGAGAGGAAGGCAGGGCUGAGGUGCACGGAUGGACAGGAGGGCUUCCAGAUGAGGUGUUGAAAGAUGAGCGAACAAAGCUGUGACAGCAACAUGAAUGCAGUUUACUGUGUCUGAAAGCAUAAUUUAAGUUGAUCUUUAUUCAUUGUGGAAGGCUAAUUAAAGCUGUUUUCAAUUGCUCAUUGGUUCUGCUCUGCUACCAUGUGCUUGAGGGGACUUAAAAAUUAAACCAUAAUUUACUGUAUUUACUUUGAUAUCCUGACAUUAACACCUUUCAAACAACGCAGUGCGCUCCCUAUACUAAUUUAACCAAUGAUAUGUGAUUAUUAUAGCAGACACAUGCUUAGAGUAAUUGGAGGCAGAUGAAUUAAAUAUAUAUGUACUUUUAAACACACCUUAGAUUUGUUCAUUUAAUGCUAAAAUGUGUAUUUCUGUUGUAUAGAUGCAUAUAUAAGUAGAUAUAGUUCCUGUUUUCUCAUCUGAGGAAAAUACAAAAAAAUUAUUUGUUUGUGUUGCUGCGAGAGGCAUUAUUAAUUCAUGUAAGUUGUACUUUUCCUUAAGUAGCCACAGUUAUGCACACCAAAUGCAUUAUCUGAUGCUUUAAAUUGUAAGUGCUCUAAAAAUGUAAAUGUAACUAAAUAUAUAUUUUUUUCCUGUCAGUUGAUGUUCCUGUUGUAAAAAGUAUAUAUAGUAGACAUAUAUAACAUAAAGCAUACUUACAGAUACAGUUCUAAAAUAAAUUUGUCUAUAUACAAAAGCAUUAUCUUAUAUUAUGUAAGUCUUUUCCCUCUUGUUGCAAUAAUUUGGCAAACCAAAUGUGUACAACUAAACAAAUGCAUGUAAAUCUGUCCAUAUAACAGCUAAUAAACCAACAUAAGAAACAGUGAAACAUUGUUUUAACUGUAUACAUUUGUUUUUAUUUUUGAUUAUGUUCUCUCAAGAAGGUACAGAUAGAUAGAUGGGUCUAGGAAUGCUUUGCUGUAAAUUCAAUGAUGUAGUAUAGGUUCUUUAAAUGUAGGGUGAAUGACAGAGGACAUUAUAGAAAGUGGAGAAGAUUCUGUGGUGAACUAAACUUACAUACCCUGUGACACAUGGCUUUGUGAUGACACACCGUUUGUUCAACAAACAGAACUGACAGAGUCAGAAAGUCUGAGUCCAUCUCCUUAAAGGAGAACUGUGACAGUCAGUGGGCAGGUGUCUAGGACCUACUGUUAUCCAGGGUCAGUGCAGUGGUUGCGGGGUCACAAGAGAUGGCUACCCAUUUAUACAUGUAUUGUAUGGAACUGGAC
ensembl:lncRNA